ensembl:misc_RNA Metazoa_SRP Metazoan signal recognition particle RNA
GCCAGGCAUGGUGGUGUAUGCCUGUAGUCCUAGGUACUCAGGAGGCUGAGGCAGGAGAAUUGCUUGAACCCAGGAGGUGUGGGUUGCAGUGAGCCAGGAUUGCACCACUGCACCCCAGCCUGGGUGACAAAGCGAGACUCCAUCUCAA